rnacentral:rRNA from 1 species
GACGAACGCUGGCGGCGUGCUUAACACAUGCAAGUCGAACGGAAAGGCCCUGCUUUUGUGGGGUGCUCGAGUGGCGAACGGGUGAGUAACACGUGAGUAACCUGCCCUUUACUUUGGGAUAACUUCAGGAAACUGGGGCUAAUACCGGAUAGGAGCUCCUGCUGCAUGGUGGGGGUUGGAAAGUUUCGGCGGUUGGGGAUGGACUCGCGGCUUAUCAGCUUGUUGGUGGGGUAGUGGCUUACCAAGGCUUUGACGGGUAGCCGGCCUGCGAGGGUGACCGGCCACAUUGGGACUGAGAGACGGCCCAGACUCCUACGGGAGGCAGCAGUGGGGAAUAUUGCACAAUGGGCGGAAGCCUGAUGCAGAAACGCCGCGUGCGGGAUGACGGCCUUCGGGUUGUAAACCGCUUUCGCAUGUGACGAAGAGUGAGUGACGGUAAUGGGUAAAGAAGCACCGGCUAACUACGUG